rnacentral:rRNA from 1 species
CCUACGGGUGGCUGCAGUGGGGAAUAUUGGACAAUGGGGGGAACCCUGCUCCAGCCAUGCCGCGUGUGUGAAGAAGGCCCUCGGGUUGUAAAGCACUUUCAGUGAGGAAGAACGCCUGGUGGUUAAUACCCAUCAGGAAAGACAUCACUCACAGAAGAAGCACCGGCUAACUCCGUGCCAGCAGCCGCGGUAAUACGGAGGGUGCGAGCGUUAAUCGGAAUUACUGGGCGUAAAGCGCGCGUAGGUGGCUUGAUAAGCCGGUUGUGAAAGCCCCGGGCUCAACCUGGGAACGGCAUCCGGAACUGUCAAGCUAGAGUGCAGGAGAGGAAGGUAGAAUUCCCGGUGUAGCGGUGAAAUGCGUAGAGAUCGGGAGGAAUACCAGUGGCGAAGGCGGCCUUCUGGACUGACACUGACACUGAGGUGCGAAAGCGUGGGUAGCAAACAGGAUUAGAUACCCUGGUAGUC